UUUGUGAAUUUUGGAUGGAAUCGAAGAAACAAUGUGCUCGCUCGACAUGUUCAUGCUUCCUGACUGGCUAUGUGGAUAGGAAUGAGGUUGUUGUUGGGAGGUAAUUCCUUCUUUUGCAUCAUUUGCCCAGCAGAAGGUGCUCCAUCUGAUGCUACUGCUGCUUUUAGGGAACUACUGUAGACGCAAAGAGUAGGAAUUGCACAUAUCAGGUGAUAGUGGAGGCUCUUGUACCUUGUACUACUUGUCUACUUAUGCUGUCCUGUAAACAACACUUGUUUGUACAGUAAAUCGUUGAUUCGUCUUCUUGAAAUAUUCUGCAUCUUAUUGUUUAUAAAUCUACUGUA